rnacentral:lncRNA from 1 species
GUUUCCAAUAAAUGAUGCUAUUAUACUAAGAAGAAAGGCUGGAUAACAAAAAAAAAAAUUUAAUAUAGCUGAAGCUAUGAUCUUAGCAAGGUUUGAGACUUGGUUUCAGAUUUGGUUCCAACCAGAGCUUUGGAUCUAUAAUUUCAGUAACCUUAGUGGUUUUGGAAGUCUCACUCUAAGUUUUGAAGUUUCCAUCAAAAAAUAAAGAAAAUUUUAAAAAGGGUGAAAAUAUGGAAGAAAAUAAAAGAAGG